rnacentral:rRNA from 1 species
CCAGCACCCCGAGUGGUCGGGACGAUUAUUGGGCCUAAAGCAUCCGUAGCCGGUUUUACAAGUCCUCCGUUAAAUCCAACUGCUUAACAGAUGGGCCGCGGAGGAUACUAUAAGACUAGGAGGCAGGAGAGGCAAGCGGUACUCAGUGGGUAGGGGUAAAAUCCGUUGAUCCAUUGAAGACCACCAGUGGCGAAGGCGGCUUGCCAGAAUGCGCUCGACGGUGAGGGAUGAAGGCUGGGGGAGCAAACCGGAUUAGAUACCCGGGUAGUCCCAGCCGUAAACGAUGCAGACUCGGUGAUGGACCAGCUUCAUGCUAGUCCAGUGCCGCAGGGAAGCCGUUAAGUCUGCCGCCUGGGUAGUACGGUCGCAAGACUG